GGAGAGGCGCAGGCCCAGGUCCACUCCCCAGCUGUGAAAGGAGGAGCUCUACGGUGACUUUGAAGACUUGGAAACAGGGGACAUGCACAAGGGAAAAUCGGGCCCCGACACUCAGAAUGAAGAUAUAGAGAAACAAGGAAGAAAUUGACCCCGACGAAGAAGAAAGUGCCAAGAAAAAGCAUUUGGAUAAGAAGAGAAAAUUGAAGGAGAUGUUUGAUGCGGAAUAUGAUGAAGGAGAAAGCACAUAUUUUGAUGAUCUUAAAGGAGAAAUGCAGAAAGAAGCACAGCUGAAUCACGUAGAAUUUGAAGAUCAAGAUGAUGAAGCCAGAGUUCAGUAUGAUGGUUUUCGACCUGGGAUGUACGUCCGCGUUGAGAUUGAAAAUGUUCCCUGUGAAUUUGUGCAGAACUUUGACCCCCAUUACCCCAUUAUCCUGGGUGGCUUGGGCAACAGCGAGGGAAAUGUUGGACACGUGCAGACCCUAUCACUCCACAGGGAACUGGUUUCUUGGCAAUACAGUCUGUCAGUGGCAUAAUGCCUGAUUUUCGGAUAGCUGCCACAGGAGUUGUCCUUGAUCUGGAUAAAUCCAUAAAAAUUGUGAAGAAAUUAAAGCUAACUGGUUUUCCAUAUAAAAUUUUCAAGAACACUUCAUUUAUUAAGAUAUUGUCUUCAUGCGAACUUGGUAUCCUGUUUCCAUCCCAGCCUUCUAUAACCCAGUAACAUCUUUGUUGAAACCAGUGGGUGAGAAAGACACCUGGUCAGGAAUGUGGACCACGGGCCACCUCGGGCUCGCCCAUGGUGUCAGACUAAAGACAAACAAGGACUCUCUGUAUAAGGUACUGGUCGUGUGUGUGUUAGUGGAGAUGAAGCCUGUGCCCUACAGACAGGGAGUCACGCAGACACUUUUCUAUAAUUUCUUACGUACUUUGAAUGUUCAAGUAUAAAGUCUAAUGUUAAAUUUGAUUGAACAAUUGUAUAUUUGUGGGAUAUUUUGGAAUGGAACACCAAAAAAUGGUAAUAGUGGUUCUUUCUGGAUUGAAGACAAACUUUUCUUUUUUAAAAUAAAUUUUAUUUUAUAUA
ensembl:lncRNA novel transcript